AGAGUUUGAUUAUGGCUCAGGAUUAACGCUGGCGGCGUGCCUAACACAUGCAAGUCGAGCGAGAAGUGGUGAAAUGAAACUUCGGUAGAUUGGAUCCAUGGACAGCGGCGGACGGGUGAGUAACGCGUGGGCAACCUGCCCCUUUCCGGAGGAUAGCCAAGGGAAACUUUGAAUAAUACUCCAUAAAGCAUAUCUGCCGCAUGACAGAGAUGCCAAAGAUUUAUCGGGGAGGGAUGGGCCCGCGUCUGAUUAGCCAGUUGGUGAGGCAGCGGCUCACCAAAGCGACGAUCGGUAGCCGGCCUGAGAGGGUGAACGGCCACAUUGGAACUGAGGCACGGUCCAGACUCCUACGGGAGGCAGCAGUGGGGAAUAUUGCACAAUGGGGCGGAAGCCUGAUGCAGCAACGCCGCGUGAAGGAAGAAGGUUUUCGGAUCGUAAACUUCUGUCCCUGGGGAAGAAGAAAGUGACGGUACCCAGGGAGGAAGCCCCGGCUAACUACGUGCCAGCCGCGGC
rnacentral:rRNA from 1 species